rnacentral:rRNA from 1 species
GAUGAACGCNGGCGGCGUGCUUAACACAUGCAAGUCGAGCGAGAAGUUUUGAAAAGAUUCUUCGGAUGAAAUUUAAAAUGGAAAGCGGCGGACGGGUGAGUAACGCGUAGGCAACCUGCCCCAUACAAAGGGAUAGCAUUUGGAAACGAAUAUUAAUACCUUAUAAAACUUAACUAGUGCAUGCUAGGUAGGUCAAAGAUUUAUCGGUAUGGGAUGGGCCUGCGUCUGAUUAGCUAGUUGGUGAGGUAACGGCUCACCAAGGCGACGAUCAGUAGCCGACCUGAGAGGGUGAAAGGCCACAUUGGAACUGAGACACGGUCCAAACUCCUACGGGAGGCAGCAGUGGGGAAUAUUGCACAAUGGGGGAAACCCUGAUGCAGCAACGCCGCGUGAACGAUGAAGGCCUUUGGGUCGUAAAGUUCUGUUNUAGGUG